GUGCAGCAGUCGCGAAACCUUCGCAAUGCGGGAAACCGCGACGAGGGGACUCCCAGUGCCUACGCUCAGCGUAGGCUGUUCCCGAGCCUAGAAAGCUCGGGGAGUAAGGGCUGGGUAAGACGGGUGCCAGCCGCCGCGGUAAUACCCGCAGCCCGAGUGGUGGCCACUAUUAUUGGGCCUAAAGCGUCCGGUAGCCGGCCCGGUAAAUGCCUGGGUAAAUCGUGAGGCCUAACCUCACGAAUUCCGGGUAGACUGCCGGGCUAGGGGACCGGAGGAGGGAGAGGGUACUCCGAGGGGUAGGGGUGAAAUCCUGUAAUCCCUGGAGGACCACCGGUGGCGAAGGCGCUCUCCGUAGGACGGGUCCGACGGUGAGGGACGAAAGCCAGGGGAGCGAACCGGAUUAGAUACCCCGGUAGU
rnacentral:rRNA from 1 species